rnacentral:rRNA from 1 species
AGCCUGUAAUGAUUACUUCGGUUUGAUUUAUGGGUGGAAAGUGGCGAACGGGUGAGUAACACGUAGGUGACCUGCCUCGAAGUGGGGGACAACCAUUGGAAACGAUGGCUAAUACCGCAUAGUCCUGGAAAUGCGGGAGUAUUUCCGGGUAAAGCUCUGGCGCUUCGAGAGGGGCCUGCGUCCGAUUAGCUAGUUGGUGGGGUAAUGGCCCACCAAGGCGACGAUCGGUAGCUGGUCUGAGAGGACGAUCAGUCACACGGGAACUGAGGCACGGUCCCGACUCCUACGGGGGGCAGCAGUGAGGAAUGUUGCACAAUGGGGGCAACCCUGAUGCAGCAACGCCGCGUGGAGGAUGAAGGCCCUUGGGUCGUAAACUCCUUUUUUGGGGGAAGAGUAAGGACGGUACCCCAAGAAUAAGUCACGGCUAACUACGUGCCAGCAGCCGCGGUAAUACGUAGGUGGCAAGCGUUAUCCGGAAUUACUGGGCGUAAAGCGCGCGCAGGCGGUUUGUCAAGUCCGAUGUGAAAGCUCCUGGCUUAACUGGGAGAGGUCGUUGGAAACUGAUUGACUUGAGGUAAUGAGAGGGGUGCGGAAUUCCCGGUGUAGUGGUGGAAUGCGUAGAUAUCGGGAGGAACACCAGUGGCGAAAGCGGCACCCUGGCAUUGACCUGACGCUCAUGUGCGAAAGCGUGGGGAGCGAACGGGAUUAGAUACCCCGGUAGUCCACGCCGUAAACGAUAAACACUAGGUGUGGGUAAUAUAAAUAUUCGUGCCGAAGCAAACGCGAUAAGUGUUCCGCCUG